UGGUGCGAUGAAUUGUGAAGAACACUUGACUUUGUGGUAGCUUGGUUAUUUAAAGAGCCUCUGCAUUGGCACACCAGUUAAAGUAUGAGGAUUAGAGAUGAGAGCCAUUCAGCAGUUUAUUGUCUUGUCCACAGGAUUUCCACUUAAAUAGUUGACUGUCAUAAAGGAUUUAAUGGCUGAUGGGCAAAUGAAAACAAAGGUACUCUAAUAAAUCUUAAUCAAAUCAAAGCAUUCAUUUGGUCAUUAGACAGAGAAAAAGCAAUUUCCUUAACUUACUAACAGGCCACACCUGAACUAUCAGUUCAGCCCGUUAGGUUGAGGCUAAGUCCCGCCCACCUAAGACUGGGCAGGAAGGAGGAUUUUCUACAGCUGCCCCUCAAAUAUGCAGGGCAUGAGGACUCAGGCGGACAACCUGAGGACAGAACAGGGGCCGAGCAAGGACCCUCAGGUGGACAGCCCGGGAGCUGGAAAUCAUGAACGGAAGACACAGGGCAGAUAAAUGUAGUCACCCCAGAGGGCGACCAGAAGACAGGACAGAUGGGUGGAGCCGCUCUGGAGGUCAACAGAGAAGCUCAGGACAGAGACCUUGAGACCUGAGGCUUCAGCGAUGGCACUUAGAGGGGUGGCAAAUAGACUCGCGGACAGCAGAGACAGCCAACUGCUGCUGUCUGGCUGGAUGUUGGCAAGGGCAGCUGACUGCUCGGGACCAGGCAACUCUGUGGCGCUGGGCAGUGGAGACUCUGAGGAGCUGAGGAGCUCUCUCGUGCAUGAGAGAACCGGCCAUGUUUGGAUCCUUUCACCUUGUUUCACCUAUUGAUCCACAGUCAGUGGUGUGGGUGGGGCUGAGGCUGCUGCAAGGGGCAAGGCCUCACUGGACAAUUUCCAUAUUUUCUAAAUAUUUAGCUUUACACUUGGUGACACAUUUAGAUUUAACAUUUAGAUUAAGAUUCAGAUUUAACAGGGCGUUAGGACGACUCUAAGGCCCUGUGGCUGACUAAUUUUUUUUCAAUAUUAAAUUAUUAACCUAUUGUCAUAAAUAGAUUUUUUUAUUUACAAUGUACUAAUAAAACCAACAGUUUCUUUUUCUUUUCUUGUUUUUGGCAAAAAGUAAACAUCCAGUCCAUCCAUGUCGACCACUGUGCAGAAAGGACUGAGAGUGAGUGAGUGAAUGAAUUGGUGUGAGCUAUAAACCUAUGCAACGUUGUCAAUCAUAAAUUACUGCUGUCACAAUAAUUGCCUGGCUCAGUCCCUGCCAUUCUCCACCUGUCUACCACAUGCCACUAGACUAUCUCACCUGAUUCCUCCACCCACCUGUUCACCUGUUCCUCAUCCCCUAAUCAUCCCUGCCUUCUCACCUGCCUCUCAUUCUGCCACAUCACCCAGUCUGUGUAUAAUACACCCACCCACUUUCCACUGUCCUCUGCCAUUUCGUCAUGUUGUCCUGCGUUCCAGCCACCUGUUAUUGAUCCUGUUUCUGAUUAUCCUUACCUGCUCUGCCCUGCUCUGGUGUCUGCAUUUAGUUCCUCCUCCUGUUUGCUCUGCUAUUUUGUACCCACAUCCAUGACACCUGCCCAAUUUCUUUGACAUAAAGCUUUUAACUUAUGUGUGCCGAAGCAUCAUUUUAGAUCUUUCAAGAUGUUGAGGCUGUGCAAAUAUCUGUCCCUAAUUAAAUUGUCCAAUUUUAAUAAAACUCAAAUGUUUUUUUGUUUUUUUUU